CCAGUAGUGUAUGCUUCUCCUAAAGACUAAGCCAUGCAUGCCUUCGAAUAAGAAGAAGCAAUUCUCUCUGAAUCUGCGAACGGCUCCGCAAACCAGUUGUAAACUAGAGCAAGCAUGCUUAGGGAGGCGGCCUUAACUGGCUGACUCCUUAAGUUACAUGGAUAACCCUGGUAAUCCUGAGGCUAAUACAUGAGCGCAAACCUUUACGGGGCCCGGUUGCGGUUGGGAUCCCUGAGGGACGUGUGAGUGUGGCCUGGGUUAAAGACUGGGAAUAGGUGCACGUCCAGACCGUCAUCAAAAAGGGAUCGGAGCCUUCCCCCUCUCCGGGGGGGGUAGGCACUGGCCCCGGCGGCUCUUGCUGUGUGCUUCUGACCUAUCAACUAGAUGGCAGCAUAAAGGACAUGCUUUGGUUACAACGGGUACAGAGGAUUAGGGUUCGAUCCUGGAGAGUGGGCCUGAGAGAUUGCUCAUACUUCUAAGGAAGGCAGCAGGCGCGCAACGUUCCCCUUGGGCAACGCUCGAGGGCGUUAGGGGACAUAUGAAUGCCUGCCCAUUGGGUGGGCAAUUCAAA
rnacentral:rRNA from 1 species